UUUUUCUUUUUCUUUUUUCUUUUUUUUUUGGUUUUAUCUUUUUUUGUUUGUUUUGUCUUCAGUUGUCUCUGAUGCAGCUUAUAUGAAGAUAAUUAUUCUGUUAACGGAAUACCACUCUGAUUGCAAAAAAAGCAGCUGUUUUGUUGACAUGUUGACUGCUAAGUAAAUACAACUUUUUUAUUAAAAAAAGAUACAUCAUAAGUGGGUAACAUGAUUAAACUUGGGCUUUGGAGCCCACCUCCCAUUUGUGAGCAAUAGUCAAUACUUAAUACCUGACAUUAAUAUAUCUAGAACCUGAUGUAACUGGAUUUGUUUGUUUGUUUGUUUGUUGGUAUCAAACAAGUAUAUUUAAAUUUGGUUGGUUUACUUUGUGAGCAUACUUUGGAAGAUCUUAGGUGGUUCUAAAUUUUUUACUUCGUGGUUUCAAAGGCCAGAGUCUUGCUAGGUAACGGGGGCAUAAGUACACAUAAAUACUAUUAGACUGGGUAAUGGCACAAAAGCCAUGGCCCUAUUGAAAGCUUUCCAUGUUUGCUACUUUCAGUUUUAAGGUGAGUUUAGCUUAGCCUGUUUCUGUGUAAUUUCUUUGGUAGUAUCCUGAGAAGACAGAAGGAAAAUAAAGUCAGUUCCACUGUCCUAUCGUCAGCCUGACACCGAUAGUCUCCUGGCCUGUGACACUAUCUUCUGAGAUGCCUAUUCUGUGUGUAUCAGUCCUGUGUGAUUUUGGACUUAGUACUUGAUGUUUUCAGUAUCAUGCGGAGGUUGGUUGUUCAAAUGGAUAAAAAAACACAGAGUAGAAUCUGGUAUGAAUUGGGAAAGAAUUUAUAAUGACAGUAAUAAUUGCUGCCAUUUAGAUUGAAGAAAGCUUAAGCAGUUACUUGGGUGUUUAGUGAAGUGCAGUUUGUUAACUUUUUUUUGAAAAUUCCCAUUGUGUAGGUCUGACUGGCCUGGGCCUCACUGUGUAGAGCAGGUUGGAAACUCCCAGGUCUCCCUGCCCCCAGGAGCUGCACACCGAGGCAUGCCUGGUGCUGGUCAAACUUUGAUAGGAAAUAAAAUUAGGAAGGGAUUAGCUGCAGCCUAAGGUGAAGUUUUAAAGCUUUGGGUGACAAAAGGUUGCAGGGUUUGGGAAAGGCAGUGGCGUUAGCAUUGCUUGGAGGCCGUUGAAUGCUGUGCUGCCCAGUAUUCAAGGCAGCCGCCUAGAGCUCCAGUUUGAAGAUGCCAGAUGCUGAUGUGUUCUGUGCCGUGUGCAGAUGCACUUCGACUUUCACCUGCCUACCCCUUCUGAAGGGUUGCCUGCAAGGAGUGAAAACUAAAGGCUAGUUUGCAGGGGCUGAGAGUCUCAUGGGGGUCCGGGUAGAAGGUAAUUAAAAAUCUUCUCUAGUACUUGGAGCUGGGCAGGUGGGCUAGAGAUGAGUAUUUACAAGGCCCUAGGUCCCAUGGCCAGCAUAAGAAAAGGGAAAGAAAAGGUGCUAUGGGCACUGUUUGUUCCAUGAAACAGAACGCUGGCAGGGUGGGUGUUGCCAGAGAGCAAACCUCAGUCACUGUAGGUGCUGUUAGGUGAUUUAAGAUUUACCUCCUUUGAACGCCUCUUGAGGCGUUCAGGUGCACUACAUAAACUGGUCACUAGGGGGCAUCAGCUCAUCAGCCUGUACUGCAAAAAGCUAUAGCCCUGAGAAGUCUAUUAAAAAUUAAUAGACUUUAGAAGUUAGAAAUUAAUUUUUGAGGGUUCCCCCCAAGAAAACUAGGAAAUAGUUGGGAAAUCUUGGGUUUUAUCAAUGUGGGUGGGACUAUUUGUGUUUUAAACACUGAUAAAAUACCUGAUAAUUUCAUUGUAUAGUAGCUUUUUAACUUUUUUUGUGCAUAUAGUGGGGUGGCAAGUAUGCCAUAGCCUUUAAGACCAGCAACUGUAACAUCUGAGCCAUUUUGUCCACUCUUGUUACUCUUGCAGGCAUUGGGAUGCUGGUAUAGGAAUACCUAACACUAUUGCUAAAAAACUCCAAGCCCCAUGGGAUUCAAUGUAUAUGGUAAUUAGGGAAUAAUAUGAGUCAAGUUUAGUGCGUGCUGUAGUACGUUUUAAAGAUACACCAAGUGCAGAUAGGGUUUGCUGGCUAGGUACUGAGAGGAAAGAAUGGUGAAAGGCACGUGUUCUCAACGCAUUUGCAAUCUUUAUGACCCAUGUGUUGAAGUAGUU
rnacentral:lncRNA from 1 species